rnacentral:rRNA from 1 species
UACGUAGGGGGCAAGCGUUGUCCGGAUUUAUUGGGCGUAAAGAGCGUGUAGGCGGUUAUGCAGGUUCGCUGUGAAAACUGGAGGCUUAACCUCCAGACGUCGGUGGAAACCGUAUGACUAGAGUCCGGAAGAGGAGAGUGGAAUUCCUGGUGUAGCGGUGAAAUGCGCAGAUAUCAGGAAGAACACCCGUGGCGAAGGCGGCUCUCUGGGACGGUACUGACGCUGAGACGCGAAAGCGUGGGGAGCGAACAGG